AACUGAAAAUCUUUUCUGGAGAUAUCCAUUUUCCUGGAGAGACGGAUAAGAUAUCCAGACAUACCGGCGUUUUGAUACCACCAGGAACAGGAAAAAGAAAUUCCAAGGAAUACAAAAAAGUUAAAAAUUGGAUCUAUGUCCAACGAAUUACACCUAGUAAGAAAAGGUUUUUUGUUUUAGUUCGACCUGUCGUCACAUAUGAAAUAACGGACGGUAUAAAUUUAGGAACCCUUUUUCCACCGGAUCCAUUGCAGGAAAGGGAUAAUGUGCAACUUCGAAUUGUCAAUUAUAUCCUUUAUGGAAAUGGCAAACCGAUUCGAGGAAUUUCUGACACAAGUAUUCAAUUAGUUCGGACUUGUUUAGUAUUGAAUUGGAACCAAGACAAAAAAAGUUCUUCUUGCGAAGAAGCCCGUGCUUCUUUUGUUGAAAUAAGGACAAAUGGUUUGAUUCGACAUUUCCUAAGAAUCAACUUAGUGAAAUCCCCUAUUUCGUAUAUCGGAAAAAGGAAUGAUCCGUCGGGGUCAGGAUUGCUCUCUGAUAAUGGAUCAGAUUGUACCAAUAUCAACCCCUUUUCUGCCAUUUAUUCCUAUUCCAAGGCAAAAAUUCAACAAUCUCUUAACCAACCUCAAGGAACUAUUCAUACGUUGUUGAAUAGAAAUAAGGAAUGUCAGUCGUUGAUAAUUUUGUCAGCAGCCAAUUGUUCUCGAAUGGAGCCAUUCAAAGAUGUAAAAUAUCACAGUGUGAUAAAAGAAUCAAUUAAAAAAGAUCCCCUAAUUCCAAUUAGGAAUUCAUUGGGCCCUUUAGGAACAUGCCUUCCAAUUGAGAAUUUUUAUUCAUCUUACCAUUUAAUAACUCAUAAUCAGAUCUUAGUAACUAAAUAUUUGCAACUUGACAAUUUAAAACAGACUUUUCAAGUGAUUAAAUUAAAAUAUUAUUUAAUGGAUGAAAAUGGAAAAAUUUUUAAUCCCGAUCCAUGCCGUAACAUUAUUUUAAAUCCAUUCAAUUUGAAUUGGUCUUUUCUCCAUCACAAUUAUUGUGCAGAGACAUCUAAAAUAAUUAGUCUUGGACAGUUUAUUUGUGAAAAUGUAUGUAUAGCCAAAAAUGGACCGCCCCUCAAAUCGGGUCAAGUUAUACUUGUUCAAGUUGACUCGAUAGUGAUACGAUCAGCUAAGCCUUAUUUGGCCACCCCCGGAGCAACUGUUCAUGGCCAUUAUGGGGAAACCCUUUACGAAGGAGAUACAUUAGUUACAUUUAUAUAUGAAAAAUCGAGAUCUGGUGAUAUAACACAGGGUCUUCCAAAAGUAGAACAGGUCUUAGAAGUGCGUUCGAUUGAUUCAAUAUCCAUGAAUCUAGAAAAGAGGGUUGAGAGUUGGAACAAAUGUAUACCAAGAAUUCUUGGAAUUCCUUGGGGAUUCUUGAUUGGUGCUGAGCUAACUAUAGCGCAAAGCCGAAUCUCUUUGGUUAAUAAAAUCCAACAGGUUUAUCGCUCCCAGGGGGUGCAGAUUCAUAAUAGGCAUAUAGAAAUUAUUGUACGUCAAAUAACAUCAAAAGUGUUGAUUUCAGAAGAUGGAAUGUCUAAUGUUUUUUCACCCGGAGAACUUAUUGGAUUGUUGCGAGCAGAACGAAUGGGGCGCGCUUUGGAAGAAGCGAUCUGUUACCGAGUCGUCUUAUUGGGAAUAACAAGAGCAUCUCUCAAUACUCAAAGUUUCAUAUCUGAAGCAAGUUUUCAAGAAACUGCUCGAGUUUUAGCAAAAGCGGCUCUCCGGGGUCGUAUCGAUUGGUUGAAAGGCCUGAAAGAGAACGUUGUUUUGGGGGGGGUGAUACCCGUUGGUACCGGAUUCAAGGGAUUAGUGCACCCUUCAAAACAACAUAACAACAUUCCUUUGGAAACAAAAAAAACGAAUCUAUUCGAGGGGGAGAUGAGAGAUAUUUUGUUCCACCACAGAAAAUUAUUUGAUUCUUGUCUUUCAAAAAAAUUCCACGACAUACCCGAACAAUCAUUUAUAGGAUUUAAUGAUUCCUAACAACGGAUUCAUCUCUUUCGCUAUCUGCAUUUGGUAUGGUUAUUUGCUUUGGUAAUAAAAAGAAUAAUGAAUAGAAAAGAAUAAUGGUUUGGGUCGUGUAUCUACGUCCAAUCUACAGUAGAAGAGAAGGUUCCAUCGGAACAAUUAUUUAUUUCAGUUCAGGGUUCCUCGUCUCUUUUUUUUUUUUUUGAAAAAGAAUAAAAAAAAGGGGGGGAGGUUGUGGGGAGAAAUGACAAGAAGAUAUUGGAACAUAAAUUUGGAAGAGAUGAUGGAGGCAGGAGUUCAUUUUGGUCAUGGUACUAGGAAAUGGAAUCCUAAAAUGGCGCCUUAUAUCUCUGCAAAGCGUAAGGGUAUUCAUAUUACAAAUCUUACUAGAACUGCUCUUUUUUUAUCAGAAGCUUGUGAUUUAGUUUUUGACACAACAAGUAGGGGAAAACAAUUCUUAAUUGUUGGUACCAAAAAUAAAGCAGCUGAUUCAGUAGAGUGGGCUGCAAUAAGGGCCCGGUGUCAUUAUGUUAAUAAAAAAUGGCUUGGCGGUAAGGCUAGUUUACCCGCAUUGACAUUUGUAAGAAAAAAAAGACUUUGAAAGAAGGCUUGUCUAACCCCUUAGAAGAGUAAGGGUCGUAGGGUAUGUUAACGAAUUGGUCCACUACAUAAACAAGACUUCAUAAGUUCAGGGACUUGAGAAUGGAACAAAAAACAGGGAGACUCAACCGUCUCCCGAAAAAAGAUACAACUAUGUUGAAAAGACAAUUAUCUCGCUUGCAAACAUAACUGGGCGGGAUUAAAUAUAUGACUGGGGUACCCAAUAUUGUAAUCAUCGUAGAUCGGCACGAAGAAUAUACGGCCCUGCCAGAGUGUAUUACUUUAGGAAUUCCAACAAUUUGUUUAACCGAUACAAAUUGUGACCCCGAUCUCGCAGAUAUUUCAAUUCCAGCGAAUGAUGACGCCAUAUCCUCAAUCCGAUUAAUUCUUAACAAAUUAGUAUUCUCAAUUUGUGAGGGUCGUUCUAGCUAUAUAAGAAAUCCUUGAUUAAUAAUAACAUAAUAAGAUAAAUAACUUACUUCAGAAAUCCCUAGAAAUCCCUUAUGGAAUCGCUUACUAUUUCUGAAUUUCAAAAAAUAGAUCAAAAUAACUGGGGAUAUUAUGUGAUUUAUUAGUAUUCUAAAUCUUAGUUGGUAUUCAAAAUAUCCGAUUCAAGUAGACAAAGGGAUGGUUGAAUCAAAUUUUUUUGUUUAAAGUUCGAUUUUUUCAGAGGGCAAGGCAAUAUGAAUGUUCUAUCAUGUUCCAUCAAUACUCUAAAGGGGUUAUACGAUAUAUCCGGUGUGGAAGUAGGCCAACAUUUCUAUUGGCAAAUAGGGGGUUUCCAAGUACAUGGCCAAGUACUUAUUACUUCUUGGGUUGUAAUUGCUAUCUUAUUAGGUUCAGCCACUAUAGCUGUUCGGAACCCACAAACCAUUCCGACCGGGGGUCAGAAUUUCUUCGAAUAUGUUCUUGAAUUCAUUCGAGAUGUGAGUAAAACUCAAAUUGGAGAAGAAUAUGGGCCCUGGGUUCCUUUUAUUGGCACUAUGUUUUUAUUUAUUUUUGUUUCUAAUUGGUCAGGAGCUCUUUUACCUUGGAAAAUCAUACAAUUACCUCAUGGGGAGUUAGCCGCACCCACAAAUGAUAUAAAUACUACUAUUGCUUUGACUUUACUCACAUCUGUGGCAUAUUUCUGCGGGUCUUACAAAAAAGGGAUUAGGUUAUUUCGAAAAAUAUAUUCAACCAACCCCAAUCCUUUUACCCAUUAACAUCUUAGAAUAUUUCACAAAACCUUUAUCACUUAGUUUUCGACUUUUCAGGUAAUAUCUUAGCUGAUGAAUUGGUAGUUGUUGUUCUUGUUUCUUUAGUACCCUUAGUAGUUCCUAUACCUGUCAUGCUCCUUGGAUUAUUUACAAGUGGUAUUCAAGUUCUUAUUUUUGCAACUUUAGCCGCGGCUUAUAUAGGUGAAUCAUGAGGGCCAUCAUUGAAAUAGCUUUUUUAGCUUAGCCCACAGCAAUGUAUAAAUGUAUAUGGUGGGUGGCUCAAGAGAAUUACUUAACUUACGGAAUAGAAUAGGGGAAUCUAAAUAUACAACUAUGCUAUAUACUAUCUAGAUUGAUAGCAAAAACAUUACGAUGAUAUUAAAGAGUAAGGGGAAAAAGAUCUAAAAACAAAGAUCCUUUUCUUAAAAUUCCCCAUUCCUUCACUUAAUAACAUACUUCGUUUCAAUGAAUAUUCACUUUAGAUUGCUUAGUCCAUCUCAUUAUUAAUUCAUUGUUAAAACAAUUUGAAUAUAAGAAUUUUUGUCAAUAGUUCUUGUUGUAUAGGUAUACGACGUGUAAUUAAAUUUAAAAAAAGGGCGAAAUGAUUUCCCUUUCAAUUGAUUUUAUUCAACGAUUGACCAAAAUAUUAAUAAUAAAUAAAUAAUAAAAAUGAAUAUUUUUUUAUCUAAUUUUAUUAAUAAAUUGCAUGAACUUAGAUCAAUCAAAUAAUGAUAUUUCUAUACCUAUGAAAUUAGCUGUCCAUGAAAAUUUGUCCAUUUAGAUUCCUCUAGGUGGAAUAAUAAGAAAAGGUAAGAUUCAAAAGAAUUUUUAAUUUUUUUUUAGUAUUUUAGAAAGGGGCGGGAGGUAUCUGUACUUGAAUAACUAUAAGCGAACCCUUCUAGAUGUUUCGACGCUUGAUUCUCAAAUAGGAUUGAAUCUAAGAUGAAUGCUUGGUUUACGUUAUGGAAGAAAGACAUGUAUAUGUGAUAUUAGAUAUUGCCUAGUGCUAGUUAUAUAUCAAAUGAACUAAAGAUAUAUUUUACUACUCUAGGGGAUUCUAAUAGACUAGAAGUCCUUCCGGCCCCUUGUGACUGUGAAUUAAAUGAAUAAACAGAUGAAAUCGAUAAAUAAUUCAACUAAUAGUUCGAACCAAGAACAAGAAAUGGAAGAACGAAAGUCGUAUGGAUUCACAAAGACUCUGUGGCUAAAAAGUAAAAAAGAUAUAUCGAAGUUGUUUUGAUGAUUCAAUAAUCUUAUUACUUCAAUCCGAAGUUCUUAGUUACUUCAAUUGGAUGAGUCCUAGUGAGGGAAUAAUUAAGUCAUAAUUCAUUGGUUGAUUGUAUCAUUAACCAUUUCUUUUUUUGGUACGAGGACCUUAUCAUGAAUCCACUGAUUUAUGCCGCUUCCGUUAUUGCUGCUGGAUUGGCCGUAGGGCUUGCUUCUAUUUGACCUGGAGUUGGUGAAGAGUUAGCUGCGGGUCAAGCUGUAGAGGGUAUCGCGAGACAGCCUGAGGCAGAGGGAAAAAUACGAGGUACGCUAUUGCUUAGUCUAGCUUUUAUGGAAGCUUUAACAAUUUAUGGACUGGUUGUAGCAUUAGCACUUUUAUUUGCAAAUCCUUUUGUUUAAUCUUAGCUUAGAAAUAUGAAAAAUAUAUUUAUUUUUCAUAUUUUAUUGCCUUCGACUUGUCGUUUGCUUUUUCAAAUUCUAUCAAGAUUUCCCUCCUCCCAUUCUUUAUUCUUUGAGAAAAGAACCUACGGGAAGGGCUGAUUUGCGGAUGAGGAAUUAGCCUACUGACUCGCUUUCAUCCUUCCCGUUCAUAGACCAAGGGAAACUCUUUUUAGUAAGUGUUAGUGUUCCAAUAACCAAUAAAAGGGCUAGUUCAUUAGUUCAUAAUUUCUAACUAACUCGAAUAUUUUUUAUUUUUUUACUCAAUUUCAGAAAAAAUAAAAGAAUAAAUAAAAAGAGGGGCGAAGUGCUACAAAAAGAACUCUGUUCGAUUUUUUAGUCUAUCUAUAAGAGGAGAUCAUAUGAAAAACGUAACCGAUUCUUUCGUUUCUUUGGGCCACUGACCAUCUGCCGGGAGUUUCGGGUUUAAUACCGAUAUUUUAGCAACAAAUCCAAUAAAUCUAAGUGUAGUGCUUGGCGUAUUGAUUUUUUUUUUGGAAAGGGAGUGUGUGCUAAUUGUUUAUUUCAAGAAUAGGUUGGACCAACCUGUUGCUCCUCAGUAUACACGCAAAUGUACGUGGUUGCACAAGUAAUAUAGAUUCAUUAAGAAACGAGUUAUCGUUCCCAAGGGACUUAUGAUCAAUUUAUAUUUAACACUUAAUUCUACAAAUAAAAGUAAAAGUAACUUUUUCAAGAGUUGAUGAUUGAUUGUUAACUACUACUAAUUAUGAACUAAGUAAACGUAAGUAAAUGUGAACGACUUUAAGAUGAUGUUUCAAGCAAGUAAAGGACAAUUCUAGGGUUGCAGCAUGCAAUGAAUCUCAUGUAUCAUAUUAGUGGCUUAGAACUAAUUUUUAGUCGGCAAGUUACUGGUUUACAGGGUUAAUUGUAUGAGUCGGGUUCACACCUCUAGUCGCCUACUCCAAUUAGCUAUCUAACUACAUCGUUGAGCAGGGAUAAAUAGACUAACUGGCGAGCAUUUAUAUUUCAUCAUGUUUCGUAACCAAGCGAGUUGUUCGUCCGAGCGUCACUCCUGAACACAAAUCACCUCAACUUAAUGGGUCGAUCAAGCUCUCUAUAUUCUCUGGUCUAUCUAACCUCUCCUCUCCCGAUUCAAGUUUAGACAAUAUAUUUAUCUUAUGGUGAACAAGCAUAAAAUACUAAAACAAGAAUAUAGCAGUAACUUAUAAUGACAACCAAGAAUUAAUUCAACAAGCCUUUAAUAAUCAACAAUCCAUUCGUUGCUACAGCCCCAUAACAAGGGUGUUUAGCCGCUCAUGCUAUUAGAAAACCACAAAAUACAAUUGUUCAUGCGAUUUUUGGAAAAUAGAAGAGUUAAAAGAUCAAAACCUAUUACAAGCGUGAACACUUGCUCUUGCACACCCAAUAAAAGUCGAACGCUAAUUAUGGAGCCCUAAGGGUCUAUUUAUAAUGGUAGGAAAAUUAGAGCCAAAGUCUAUUACAAUUAAGAAUCCUUUUUUAACACUUUUAAGCUGGAAAAGUCGGGAUCUCACUAGCGUGUCGCGCCUAGAAUCGCGCCCAAACUUCACCUCUAAGGUUUCCAUCCUGGCGCGUCGCGCCUCUUAGAGCGCCUGAGAAAGGCCCCAAAAUGUUGGGCCUUGGCGCGUCGCGCCUAAGAGGCCUCUCUGAAUGUUGGCCCUUGCCUUGGCGCCUCGCGCCUAGCAGUGCUCCUGGCCCUGGGGCCUUCAGCCUUAGCUUCUUUUCAGCAUAUCCUUGCAUCUUUUCUUUCAAUUUGACUCCAAUCUCCUUGAGAGUUCCUGAAACCUCUAAUCACAUAUUUUUAGUGCAUAAUAUCGCAAGUAUAACGAAAUCAAGCUAAUAGACUCAAGAUCAUUCGUUACUUCAAUCAAUUCAUGGGCAAAUAUUGACAACUUAGACACAUAAAUAUGCCUAAGAUCACCAACCAAAUGUACCCUUUUUCGUUAUAAGUAGGAAAGAGAGGUGCAUGAUCUCGCGAAUUACUUAUGUAUAAAUUCAUAAAUUAUAUGUAAGAACCAUAGCAUUUUGCGAUUCAUUGGUAAAUUGAUUUUGAUUCACUAUUAACCAAUAAUGUGGAACUAUUAACAUGGUUAAAACAAAUUGUUUGAAGUCUAGACACAGCAUGGUACUCUUUCUACCACUAUGUUAAUAUAGAGGUGGUUUCAAAAUAAAUAUUUUAUCGAUAUAGGAUACUCAUAUUGAUAAAAUGAUUUUAACUGCUUAUUGUAAAUUGAAAAAAUAGGGAUUUUACCCCCUUUAUCUAAUGCUGAAUCGACGACCUAUUCUAAGUAAGAAGGACUUUUUUGGAUUUAGAAAAAAAAAAAAACUUUGCUGACAAUUACAUAUUUUGGAGUUUGUCAGAAGAGUCCUCCGACUAUUUUGGUCUUACAUUAGUUUCGAUAUCUUUUUGGAAUAUGAACAAAGAAGAGAAGAUAGGCUCAUUACAUUCAUAAAAAAAGAUAUGAGAAUUUACCUUAAGUAAUUGAGCGUGAGAGCCAAAUGAAUCGAAAGAUUCAUGUUUGGUUCGGGAAGGGAUUAUGGAAUUUUGGAAAGGAAUGGAAAAAUAAUCUACUUUCAUUAAGUGAUUUAUUAGAUAAUCAAAAACAGAGGAUCUUGAAUACUAUUCGAAAUUCAGAAGAACUGCGCAGAGGGGCUAUUGAACAACUCGAAAAAGCUCAUUCUCGUUUAUGGAAAGUAGAAACCGAAGCCGAGCAGUUUUGAGUGAAUGGAUACUCCGAGAUAGAACGAGAAAAAUUGAAUUUGAUUAAUUCAACUUAUAAAACUUUGGAACAAUUAGAAAAUUACAAAAACGAAACGAUUCAGUUUGAACAGCAAAGGGCGAUUAAUCAAGUCCGACAACGGGUUUUCCAACAAGCCUUACGAGAAGCUUUAGGAACUUUGAAUAGUUGUUUGAACAACAAGUUACAUUUACACACCAUUAGUGCCAAUAUUGGCAUGUUGGGAACAAUGAAAGAAAUAACUUAUUAGUCUUUCUAAGGUAAGUAUUAUUUUUUUCUUUCAAAAAAGAAUAAAGAAAGAAUCAUGGUAACCAUUCGAGCUGACGAAAUUAGUAAUAUUAUUCGUGAACGUAUUGAACAAUAUAAUAGAGAAGCAAAGAUUGUAAAUAUCGGUACCGUACUUCAAGUAGGCGAUGGCAUUGCUCGUAUUCACCGUCUUGAUGAAGUAAUGGCGGGUGAAUUAGUAGAAUUUGAAGAGGGUACAAUAGGCAUUUCUCUGAAUUUGGAAUCAAAUAAUGUUGGUGUUGUAUUAAUGGCGACGGUUUGUGGAUACAAGAAGGAAGUUCUGUAAAAGCAACGAGAAGAAUUGCUUAGAUACCCGUGAGUGAGGCUUAUUUGGGUCGUGUUGUAAAUGCCCUGGCUAAACCUAUUGAUGGUAGAGGUGAAAUUUCAACUUCUGAAUUUCGAUUAAUUGAAUUUGCCGCCCCCGGUAUUAUUUCACGAUGUUCCGUAUAUGAGCCUCUUCAAACCAGACUUAUUGUUAUUGAUUCGAUGAUCCCUAUAGGACGUGGUCAACGAGAAUUAAUUAUUGGGGACAGACAGACCGGUAAAACAGCAGUAGCCACAACUACGAUUCUCAAUCAACAAGGUCAAAAUGUAAUAUGUGUUUAUGUAGCUAUUGGGCAAAAAGUGUCUUAUGUGGCCCAGGUAGUAACUACUUUACAGGAAAGGGGAGCGAUGGAAUACACUAUUGUGGUAGCUGAAAUGGCAGAUUCCCCUGCUACAUUACAAUACCUUGCUCCUUAUACAGGAGCAGCUCUGGCUGAAUAUUUGAUGUAUCGUGAACGACACACUUUAAUCAUUUAUGAUGAUCUCUCCAAACAAGCGCAAACUUAUCGCCAAAUGUCUUUUCUAUUACGAAGACCGUCCGGUCAUGAAGCUUAUC
rnacentral:lncRNA from 1 species